rnacentral:lncRNA from 1 species
AAAAAAAAGAGUAGUAUUCCUCAAACAUUGAAACCCAACAAAAACUUGGAUUUUAUUUCCAACUCUUGCACCAUCUUGAGUAGAGGGUCACCUAAGGCCAGAGUCGUAGCCCCUAAGGUAAGCUAGGACAUGGUUUCUGUUUUGUUUUUGUUGGCAAUAUUUUCCCUGGUGAACAUUUACAUCCAUAAAUUUAAAUUUCUAAUUAUGUAAGUGGGGUCACUUCAGUUCUUUAUCAGGAGUAUUUCCAAGCAUUUCAGCUGGAAUGUGAUUGCAGAACACUUGCUCGUUGGGAGAAGUGAGUGUGUGGGAGAACCUCUCCAACCUCUCAGCCAGGCUGCAGGACUGGUAUGUAGUGUGCCAGGUGCUGGUGAAAACCGUGCUUUAUUUUCCUACAUAGAUUUCCAAAUCUGAAGUCUGUCCGAGAACUCAUUUUGAAACGUGGACAAGCCAAGGUCAAGAAUAAGACCAUCCCUCUGACAGACAAUACAGUGAUUGAGGAGCACCUGGGGAAGUUUGGCGUCAUUUGCUUGGAAGACCUCAUUCAUGAAAUUGCCUUCCCAGGGAAGCAUUUCCAGGAGAUCUCAUGGUUCUUGUGCCCUUUCCACCUCUCAGUGGCCCGUCAUGCUACCAAAAAUAGAGUGGGCUUCCUCAAGGAGAUGGGCACACCUGGCUAUCGGGGUGAACGCAUCAAUCAGCUCAUCCGUCAGCUGAACUAGACCCAGGUGCCAAACUGCGGUAAAUUUUUUAUCAGUGAAGUGGAAGCAUGUGUUUUGUUUUGGAAAUUUUUAUCAAGUAUCUUCA